rnacentral:rRNA from 1 species
CAGUCGCCGCGGUAAAACGUAGGUGGCAAGCGUUGUCCGGAAUUAUUGGGCGUAAAGGGCUCGCGGGCGGUUUCUUAAGUCUGAUGUGAAAGCCCCCGGCUCAACCGGGGAGGGUCAUUGGAAACUGGGAAACUUGAGUGCAGAAGAGGAGAGUGGAAUUCCACGUGUAGCGGUGAAAUGCGUAGAGAUGUGGAGGAACACCAGUGGCGAAGGCGACUCUCUGGUCUGUAACUGACGCUGAGGAGCGAAAGCGUGGGGAGCGAACAGGAUUAGAUACCCCGGUAGUCCCUGUCUCUUAUAC